rnacentral:lncRNA from 1 species
GAGACCAUCCCCGACGGCCUCCCUCCCUCCGACGAGGACGCGACGCAGGACAUCCCCUCGCUGUGUGAAUCCAUCCAGAACAACGCUCUCCCCCCCUUCCUCGACCUCCUCAGGCAGCUCAACGAAGGUUCUCCACCGGUGUCGUGCGUCGUGUCCGACGGAGUCAUGAGCUUCACCGUCGACGCCGCCACGGAGCUCAGCAUCCCCGAGGUGAUGUUUUGGACCCCCAGCGCCUGUGGCUUCAUGGGCUAUCUCCAGUACAAACAUCUCCUCGAAAGAGGUCUCACGCCUCUCAAAGGUGCCUAAAACGACCUCCCUUCUUCUUCCACUCCAAAGCAGUCCAUAUCGCUUACUUCAUGUGUACUGCAUCGACAGAUGAGAGUGACAUCACGAAUGGAUACCUCGACAUGGCGGUGGAGUGGAUACCAGGAUUGAAGAACAUGAGGCUGAAGGAUCUGCCCACCUUCAUUCGCACGACGGACCCCGACGACAUCAUGCUCAACUACUGCAACCGUGAGGCCCAAAGAGCCUCCAUGGCCAAGGCGGUCAUCAUGAACACCUUCGACGAACUGGAGCAGCCGGUCCUGGAAGCCAUGGCGGCGAUGCUCCCGCCGAUCUACACCAUNNNNNNNNNNNNNNNNNNNNCAAAUCAUUCGAUCUAUCCUUAGCUUUCAGAUAUGUUAUCAAAUCUAAUGUUCCUCUUCGAUACCUAUGUUUUCUUCCGGAUAAAUAAUGGACUUUCGGAUAUCAAAUCUAAUGUUCCUCUUCGACACCGUUAGCUUUAAGAUAAAUAAUGGAC